rnacentral:rRNA from 1 species
GAUGAACGCUAGCGGCAGGCUUAACACAUGCAAGUCGAGGGGCAACACGGGUAGCAAUACCUGGUGGCGACCGGCGCAAGGGUGCGUAACGCGUGAGCAACAUGCCCUAUACAGGGGGAUAAUCCAGGGAAACUUGGUCUAAUAUCCCAUAGUAUUUAGAGGUGGCAUCACCACUAAAUUAAAGCUUCGGUGGUAUAGGAUUGGCUCGCGUGACAUUAGCUGGAUGGUGGGGUAACGGCUCACCAUGGCGAUGAUGUCUAGGGGUUCUGAGAGGAAGACCCCCCAACUGGGACUGAGACACGGCCCAGACUCCUACGGGAGGCAGCAGUGAGGAAUAUUGGACAAUGGAUGGAAAUCUGAUCCAGCCAUGCCGCGUGCAGGAAGACGGCCCUAUGGGUUGUAAACUGCUUUUAUAUGGGAGCAAUAAGGUUUACGCGUAGACCGAUGAGAGUACCAUAUGAAUAAGCAUCGGCUAACUCCGU